UUGAAUAAUCAAUCUGCUUCCAUUGAUAUGGAUCAUAGCCAUUACAGAAAUUUCUAUUUUUCUCCGUGUAUAUGGCUUUGACGCUAACAGUAAAUAUUUUUAUGCAAAGAGACAUAUAUUCGCAUGUUAAUUAUAUAAUGUAUCGCGUAAUUUCUAUAACUAUUUCACUAAAAUAAUUAUUUAAACAAAGCUCAAUCUUGUUGAUCCAUAUAAAUUCUAUGCAGCGAACUCUUUUGCCUGCCCAACAGAUCACUAAUACAUAUGCACGCUGCAAGCACCCUAUACACACGGAGCGCGCAUGUGUUACACACACAAAGAAGUUAGUAAUAAACAAUCCUCAAUUUGUUCGAUGUUCGGGAGUUUUUCCAAUAUUUCUUGUAUUUAAAAGUUAAAAAAAUCGUAAGUUUGUCACUAAUCGUAAGUCGAGCUGACGAUAAACACGAUAGAGUACCGCAUUUUCACUGCAGCAAUAUAUCGAAGUGCCACGUUCCGCGUUACCGGAACAGAAAAAAAUUAAAAAGUUUCGAAGAAAGUCGGAUAACUUUCCACCGUUUUCCGACCAAUAAAUUGUUGAGACGGAAAUGGUUAAACUUUUUCGGAUACACAAGCUCGUUCGAUACGCGAAAGAUAUUUGUUUGUUCGCUUCAUUUUUCGCCGGAUUCUUUUGGGGAUACUGUUUUAACCUAUAUUCAGCAAAGAAAACAUCUUCGUACUGGAGCUAUUCCAUGCAUUCGCCUCUUGGAUCUUUCAAAACGUUCCGUUCCAAUGGUUUCACACGAAAUUCCAAAUUUAUACAUUCACUUCUUGCGAAAGUGCUAAAUAUUUAUUUGCAAUCACUUCGGAAGAUGACCCGGGAUGGAGGAAAUGUUUUUCUCGUUUUCCAGAAACGCAAAUUUAUUCCCUCAAGCCUCACUACGGCUGAACACUCCAAACCGAAACCAAUGGAUGCGUCGCGAUGAUUCUUGAUGGAUGAUUCAAUAAAAGAGAAACAAACAGCAGUGUGGGUGUUAAUCUUUCAUCAUAUUAUCAAUUUGCGAGAAUGACACUGCUUCGAUAUAACCUCUCCACACAUUUGUUCAUAGGU